GAUUAAUAGUGAACUUAAUUUUAUAUUAAACUGCAUUAAUUGGUAAUUAACUUAAGAGCUUUUGUAAUAUUGCACACAAAGUUUUUACGUAUUGUAAAUUCAAAAGCUAAAAAUUCAAGUGCAUCUUUAUUUUCAAAAAUUGUAACGAUACAACAUAGCUCAUUAAAUAAAACAACAACAGUACUUCUCGUCAUAAUUUGGAAACCAACAUUGUCCCCCUUUUGUCAUUUUCCUUCCAAUAACGCAAUCAGUGGCACAAUUUGAACUACAAAGCUCUAUGAAGCAAGCAUUUGGUGGUCCUCUUCUCCCGUAAGGGCAGUUUAAGUUAUCCUCUACUGCUAGAGUCUCGAAGCUUGUAACUAAUCACGAACCAAACAAAAAAAAUAUAUUGGACAUUAGGUAUUUUAUUCAUGUUUUUCAAAAUUUCAACAAAAUGUUAUUGCGACUUCGUUAAAAAAGUUGUUGACUUAUAUCCGCUUAACAAUUUAAGCCCUUUUUUUCUUUUGACGAUGAAAAUACAUACACUAGUACAA
rnacentral:lncRNA from 1 species